CUAGGGAACCCGGGUGGAAAAGGCCCUCGGGGGUGCCCCCGGCGACGGGAGCCCUAGCACAGGUGCUGCAUGGCCGUCGUCAGCUCGUGCCGUGAGGUGUGGUUAAGUCCCGCAACGAGCGCAACCCCCGCCGUUAGUUGCCAGCGGUUCGGCCGGGCACUCUAACGGGACUGCCCGCGAAAGCGGGAGGAAGGAGGGGACGACGUCUGGUCAGCAUGGCCCUUACGGCCUGGGCGACACACGUGCUACAAUGCCCACUACAAAGCGAUGCCACCCGGCAACGGGGAGCUAAUCGCAAAAAGGUGGGCCCAGUUCGGAUUGGGGUCUGCAACCCGACCCCAUGAAGCCGGAAUCGCUAGUAAUCGCGGAUCAGCCAUGCCGCGGUGAAUACGUUCCCGGGCCUU
rnacentral:rRNA from 1 species